ensembl:lncRNA
CACCCAUCACAGAAGGAAGCUCCCUGCAGCGGAGGGUUCAGAGUGAAGCCCAGGCCCUUCAAGCCCAGAUGCAGAGGGAUGGUGAAGCCGGGUUGCCCCAGCUAUUAAUUUUUUUCCAGCUAUUAAUUUUUAAUUGGAUUCAACUGAAGAAGUGUGGACCAAAGGCCUGUCCACAACUCCUCCUGGACCAUCUGGGCAUAUCGGUGUCACUGUCUUCUAAGGCAACUAAUUCCAUCAGCUCAAUAUUCCUGGCUUCUAGAAAGAGCUCCAGCCUGUUUUCUUACAGCUUCUACCUGUCAGCCAGGUUCCGACCACCAAGAGCAGAGUGACCCCCAUGCACGGGGCAAGUGGGAGGGCAGGAUCCAGUCAGAUCAAGUGGGGUUGCAAGCCAACUGCUCCACUAAUCAACUGAGUGACACUAGACAUGGGAUUUGGGCUCUUGGGGCCUCAGCUCCCCAAUCUGUAAAAUGGGGACACUAAGUCACUGUGGAGGGUUCCUAUAGGAUCAGGUGAGAUGACACAAGGAAAGCUGUGAACUCAGUACCCAGAACUGCAGUGAUGACUACUUGUUAUUCUUUUUCUUAUUUCUCCAUCUGUCUGCUGUGCCUUGGAAGUAGCCAAGGGCUCCAAUCAUACACCCUCACCUUGCUACUGGCUUACCUUCUUCCAGCUAAACACACACAGCCCUUCCUUCAGUGGUCACCCUGUCACUGAGUCUCAGGCUCUUGACUCUCUGGAGCCUUCCACCAAGUCUCCAAAUGAGAAAACUUGGGAGGAAAAGGGAUAGGCCCCUUUUGAUUUUUUUGCCCAUACCACACAGCAUGCGGGAUCUCUGUUCUCCAACCCAGGAUGGAACCCUCACCCCCUUCAGUGGAAGUGUGGAGUCUUAACCACUGGACCACCAGGUAAGUCCCCCCUUUUGAUUUUUAAGAACAGACCUAUAGAUAUGGAAGGAGCUCAAACACAGCAAAGGAUAAAACCAGAACCUGGAUGAAGCCAAGGCUUCCUGAACCCAAGGAAGGGAAGCAGAGCCCAGCUCAGAAUAAGAAACUACUGUCCUUUCUGAGGAUUUGAGCUCUUCAAAGGUGGGAAGAGCUGUCCCUGGAGGGAGUGAACUCCCUAUCUUUGGAAAUAUUCAAGGUGGAUGACACCGCCAGGGAUAUGGUGUCUGGGGACAUGGUGUCUGAAGGGACUUCUGCGCUGAGGGGGACUUUGAUCUAAAUGAUGUCAAAGAUCACAGUAAAGAAACAAGGAAUUCCUUCUUCAUUCAUUUGACCAAUAUUUAUUGCUGAAUGCCUAGCGAUGACUAGCUCUGUGCCAGUUCCUCUCCUGGGUGUACAGUUCACACUAAGAGAAGAAUCUGAACUCAGGAAGCAUUUCAAAAACAGGGCUCCUUUGGAACAGUGUGGAGAUUCCUUAAAAAACUGGAAAUAGAAGUGCCAUAUGACCCAGCAAUCCCACUGCUGGGCAUACACACCGAGGAAACCAGAACUGAAAGAGACACGUGUACCCCAGUGUUCAUCGCAGCACUGUUUACAAUAGCCAGGACAUGGAAGCAACCUAGGUGUCCAUUGGCAGAAGAAUGGAUAAGAAAGCUGUGGUACAUACACACAAUGGGUUAUUACUCAGUCAUUAAAAAGAAUACGUUUGAAUCAGCUCUAAUGAGGUGGAUGAAACUGGAGCCUAUUAUACAGAGUGAAGUAAGUCAGAAAAGAAAAACACCAAUAUAGUAUAUUAACGCAUAUAUAUGGAAUUUAGAAAGAUGGUAAUGAUGACUCUAUAUGUGAGACAGCAAAAGAGACACAGAUAUAAAGAACAGACUUUUGGACUCUGUGGGAGAAGACGAGGGUAGGUUGAUUUGAGAGAAUAGUAUUGAAACAUGUAUAUUAUCAUAUGUGAAAUAGAUCGCUAGUCCAGGUUCAAUGGAUGAGACAGGGCGCCCAGGGCUGGUGCACUGGGAUGACCCUGAGGGAUGGGAUGGGGAGGGAGGUGGGAGGGGGUUCAGGAUGGGGAAAACAUGUACACCCAUGGCUGAUUCAUGUCAAUGUAUGGCAAAAACCACUACAAUAUUGUAAAGUAAUUAGCCUCCAAUUAAAAUAAAUAAAUAAAUUUUUUUAAAAAGAAAAAGACU